rnacentral:rRNA from 1 species
AACGAACGCUGGCGGCAUGCCUAACACAUGCAAGUCGAACGAGACCUUCGGGUCUAGUGGCGCACGGGAGCGUAACGCGUGGGAACCUGCCCUUAGGUUCGGAAUAACUCCCCGAAAGGGGUGCUAAUACCGGAUAAUGUCUUCGGACCAAAGAUUUAUCGCCCUUGGAUGGGGCCGCGUUGGAUUAGCUAGUGGGUAGGGUAAAAGCCUACCAAGGCGACGAUCCAUAGCUGGUCUGAGAGGAUGAUCAGCCACACUGGGACUGGGACACGGCCCAGACUCCUACGGGAGGCAGCAGUGGGGAAUAUUGGACAAUGGGCGAAAGCCUGAUCCAGCAAUGCCGCGUGAGUGAUGAAGGCCUUAGGGUUGUAAAGCUCUUUUACCCGGGAUGAUAAUGACAGUACCGGGAGAAUAAGCUCCGGCUAACUCCGUG